UGAGGAAUAUUGGUCAAUGGGCGGGAGCCUGAACCAGCCAAGUCGCGUGAGGGAAGACGGCCCUAUGGGUUGUAAACCUCUUUUGCCGGGGAGCAAGAGGCGCCACGCGUGGCGCCGUGAGAGUACCCGGAGAAAAAGGCAUCGGCUAACUCCGUGCCAGCAGCCGCGGUAAUACGGAGGAUGCGAGCGUUAUCCGGAUUUAUUGGGUUUAAAGGGUGCGUAGGCGCGCUGUUAAGUCAGCGGUAAAAUUGCGGGGCUCAACCCCCGUCGAGCCGUUGAAACUGGCGGCCUUGAGUAGGCGAGAAGUGUGCGGAAUGCGUGGUGUAGCGGUGAAAUGCAUAGAUAUCACGCAGAACUCCGAUUGCGAAGGCAGCACGCCGGCGCCUUACUGACGCUGAAGCACGAAAGCGUGGGUAUCGAACAGGAUUAGAUACC
rnacentral:rRNA from 1 species